rnacentral:rRNA from 1 species
CCUACGGGUGGCUGCAGUGAGGAAUAUUGGUCAAUGGGCGCGAGCCUGAACCAGCCAAGUAGCGUGAAGGAUGACUGUCCUACGGGUUGUAAACUUCUUUUAUAAAGGAAUAAAGUGAGGCACGUGUGCCUUUUUGUAUGUACCUUAUGAAUAAGGAUCGGCUAACUCCGUGCCAGCAGCCGCGGUAAUACGGAGGAUCCGAGCGUUAUCCGGAUUUAUUGGGUUUAAAGGGAGCGUAGAUGGGUUGUUAAGUCAGUUGUGAAAGUUAGGGGCUCAACCGUAAAAUUGCAGUUGAUACUGGCAGCCUUGAGUACAGUAGAGGUAAGCGGAAUUCGUGGUGUAGCGGUGAAAUGCUUAGAUAUCACGAAGAACUCCGAGUGCGAAGGCAGCCUAC